GACUUCCUAAAUGAAUGUUUUCUCUUUUUAUUGAGUACUAGGUUUUUGGUGUCACAAGCUAAUUUCUUCAUUAGCUUACAGGAAUCAAAUCAAUAUGGAACAAAUGAUAAUUUGUAUCUGUCCCAUGUGUUUCUGCACAGUUUCACCCAGUUUUUAGUAAGUGGCUAUAGCGUUAUCACUAUUUGCAUUUUACCAGAUCACAGGAUCGGAUUGUCUGAAUGUAUUUUGGUGUAUCCCAACUCAACCACCUGUACCAAUCCAACGGCUUUUGACCUCAGACGCUCUGGAGGAGAGGCUUGGUAAGCAGUGGGACCAGAUCCCCAAACUGCCAUCACAUGACAGCAUCCGCAUUUCACCAGGGGCCCAUGAGCAGCUCAGGGAAGAGUGGAUCCCCAGUGACGGCUUCACUCAAGAGCCAGCAGAAGUCCUUUAGGCCUGCAUGACUCAGCCUCCGGGAAAGCUCAUCCUCAUCUUAAAAUCAAGGGGUAUGAAGAAGCAAGGUGAGUCACAGGAAGCUAUCCAGAUAAAAGACUGAGUCAAUCACAAUAGAAUUCCAGCAUCCGCUCACUCCUGCUGGAUAGAAUUGAAAUAAGCAUGGCAUCUCAUUUCAGCUCCAGGCUCGGGGCCCUGGAGCCUAGGAUCCUGGGAAUGACGCUGCAGGAGUGAUCUUGGACAAGUCAAUGAUGUCCUCAGGUUUCUAUGCCCUUCUGCGUCAAAUGCGCAGGCUGAUUAAUUCCCUAAGUCCCUGCUACUUUGACUUUGUGACUCUGUGAUAAUGCACGAAUGCUUUAUGAGGGUUUGAUGCUCUGAGUGAAUCUACAGGCAGGUAGCCCUUGUCCUGUGAUCCCCCUGAUAUAUCUCUGGAUGUCCUGCACCCUGUCUCCCUCUACACAGGCCCUACAGAUCCAUUUGCAGGGCCUGGGGACCCAGCAGCAGCUGUCCGACUCCUCCAGGACCUGGCGCUGUUUUGGCAUUGACCCCUCUUGGUUUUAAGCUGCCAUACACUGGGCCAGGAGGCAGAGUGUGGUUGUAGUGUAGCUCAGCUACAACUUACUUAAGCUGUCAAGGCCCAACUCCAGUGAAUGCUCUUUCAUGAAGCCUUCUCCAGUUCUCAUCCAGAAGAUUCUCUCUCCUCUGGACUCUCGUGGCACAUUCCCUGUAGUCCUCGAAUCGCCCUUAGCUCUUCCUAUGUGGCCUUAUAAUUAAAACCAUGUCCUCCUUUUAGUUUCCUAGUUUUGACAGAAGAUGAAGAAACUUAGUUGAGUAACUCACUGGACCUUAAAAUGCAAGUCUCGGGAGGCCUUCAAAGCAAGGAUCCAGUUGAGAUAACGAAGCAAUCAGGCAUUUGUGAGUCUUUGACCUUAGUUUCCUACAAGGAGGACAGGGUUACUCCUCAGGCCACAUAGGAAGAGGACUGUGAGGAUUGUAGGGGCAGGCAGAGUAUUCUGUUUUCCCAUAGAUCCUGGGCAGGGUUUUGUACAUGUUAGGGGCCCAACAAAUAUGAAUCCGUGACCUGAGGAAUUCAAGUUUGAGACUUGAACUGGGUAUGGAUGUAGGUUGUCCAGAUCUAACAGACACAUUCCUAUGAUCUCCUUGGUGCUUGGCUAGUGAUCCGAAGCUCAAGGAUCUGUUUAGGUAGUAAUGGGGUAAAGGGGGGAUUUGAUAGGAAUAUUUUGGUUGUAAGUUGUGAAAGACCAAGUGAAAUUGGUUUCAGAGAAAAAAAAAAGAGGAUGGGAAGAGUAUUAUUAAAGGCAAAACUGGCUUCUGGUUAGACAACCUGGGAGCCCCUGUCAGCCUUUGCUCUCCAACUGUCAUCUUUCCUCAUUCUGUGUGAGCUCUUUACUCAGGCCCAUCUCUCCUGCUUGCAAUAUGGCUGGCAACAACCCCAGGGAAAAGAAAAAAUCGUUUCUUCUCUAACACUUUUAGGAGUGCUAGGCUUAUCUCUCCAAGGUCAUUAUUAAUUAACAGUCCUUAAAGCCAAAGGAGAAUUCUCUGAUUGGUUCUGGCCACAUGUCCAUCCCUGAAGCUGGUUGAGGUCAAGGGACUGGGAGAAGGGAUGUUACCUAAAAACAAAGAGGACGCUGUCACCAGAAGAAAGAGAAUCAAUGCUUGUGGCAAAACCAACAGGGCGUACCUUAAAAAUACCUUUUAGAGUUUCAAAAAGCCUAACUGAAAUAGUCUACUUACUAAUGUUCACGCUGUACAAGUUAAUGAACAUGUCAAGUUUCUUUGCCUUUGUCUGAAAUUAUGUCAGCUCAGUUAGGAAACACUGGAUAUCUUUUGUUGACCAGAAAAUCUUUGCCUCAUAAAGAACAGAAAGAUAAAUUAAUUUCUUGCAUACUCCGUUUAACAGCAUUGAAUCACUAUAAUCUUAACUUCUAGGACACUUUUUUCUUUGAAACAUAUAUCAUAUCAUAAUAUCAUAUGGUAAAUGGUUUCAUCUGAGAUUGGAGGGCUAGUGUAUAUUCUUGGCCAAUGACAGCUGAAUAAACUUGACUGUGCUUUCUCAGCCAAA
ensembl:lncRNA